AAGUCGUAACAAGGUUUCCGUAGGUGAACCUGCGGAAGGAUCAUUACCUAGAGUAUGCGGGCUUUGCCUGCCAUCUCUUACCCAUGUCUUUUGAGUACCUUCGUUUCCUCGGCGGGUCCGCCCGCCGACUGGACAAUUUAAACCAUUUGCAGUUGCAAUCAGCGUCUGAAAAAACUUAAUAGUUACAACUUUCAACAACGGAUCUCUUGGUUCUG
rnacentral:misc_RNA from 1 species